AUCGUUCAAUCUAACUAGUUUAGAUCGGAAGUAGGCCACAGCUGAAGGAACGCGCA
rnacentral:ncRNA from 10 species